AUAAUAUUCCACACUUUUAGUUGUAGGGUUUAAAACAGCAACCAAUAAAAUAAACCCUUGUUCUUCUUCUGCUUGUAUCUAUCUCUGUGGCCAUGGCUUUGGACGACGACAUAGAGAGAAUUCUAUUCAGCGAAGACCAAAUCUCCCAACGAGUCUCCGAUCUGGCCUCUCAGAUCACCCAUGACUUCACCACCAACGCCGUCUCUUCAUCCCCGCCGGUCGUCGUCGGCGUGGCCACCGGCGCCUUUCUGUUCCUAGCCGACCUCGUCAGAAAGAUCAAACUUCCCCUCAACGUUGACUUCGUUCGAGCCGAGUCGUACGGCUCAGGAACUGUAUCGAACGGCGCUCCGAGAAUUUCAUUCGACUUGAAGAUCGAUAUUCAGGGAAAGCACGUCAUUCUGGUUGAGGACAUUGUGGAUACGGGAAACACUUUGUCUUGUCUUAUUGCUCUUUUGAAAUCCAAAGGAGUGUCCUCCGUAUCGGUGUGUACCCUCCUUGAUAAAAGACGAAAGGUUAAUUUUGAGCUUGUGGGUAAAGGAAAGUAUUAUUAUGGCUUUGAGUGCCCGGAUUAUUUCGUUGUGGGCUAUGGACUGGAUUUUGCAGAAUCAUACAGGAACUUGCCUUAUGUUGGGAUCUUGAAACCUGAAAUGUACAAGUGAUUUCCGCUGUCACAUCAGUGAGGAUGAUUGCUAUCCUGAAACUUCACAAGAGUAAGACCUUUCCAGCCAACUUUAAACCCUUAAAACAUUUUAACAAGACUUGUGAUUUUCAACAACUUUGCACUCUUCAAUUUUCAUCAUUUCCAUGGGAGAGCAGGAGAAGCUUUAGCAGCAGGAACAAUAUUCCCAGCAGAGUCAUAUAUAAUGACCCCAGAAAAAUCUGGGAGCUGGCACUUCCCACCCAUGAGACCGUUGUUGCAGUUACCAUAGCCAUAGCAAGCUCUCCAUUGGCGACGCCAUUUGCGUGAAUGAGAAGCACAUGCGAAGAGCGCAAAGGCACACAAGAGAAGGGUCGCGGCAACAUAGCUGGAUUGAGAGGUGGUAGAUAGGUGGUGAGGUAAGAGUAGUGGUCGAGCCAUGUUUGUUAAAGGUGAUUCAUUUGUAUAGAGUGAGUUUAUGUGAUGUAUAUAUACUAGCAAUUAUGUGGUAAAUGGGGUUGUUGGGAUGUUGGGUAUGGAGGAUUUGGUAAGGUUUGGGUUGAGGUUUGACUCUUGGUACAAGUUAGAACUGGUUUGUGGUUUUGGUUACUUUGAACCUCUAAGGGCAUCCACAAUUGAUGUGUUAAAGUGUGUUAUAUGACAAAAAGUGUUAAAA